rnacentral:rRNA from 1 species
GGCAGUGGAGACAUUGUCCUUCAGUUAGGCUGGCCCCAGAACAGGUGCUGCAUGGCUGUCGUCAGCUCGUGUCGUGAGAUGUUGGGUUAAGUCCCGCAACGAGCGCAACCCUCGCCCUUAGUUGCCAGCAUUUAGUUGGGCACUCUAAGGGGACUGCCGGUGAUAAGCCGAGAGGAAGGUGGGGAUGACGUCAAGUCCUCAUGGCCCUUACGGGCUGGGCUACACACGUGCUACAAUGGUGGUGACAGUGGGCAGCGAGACAGCGAUGUCGAGCUAAUCUCCAAAAGCCAUCUCAGUUCGGAUUGCACUCUGCAACUCGAGUGCAUGAAGUUGGAAUCGCUAGUAAUCGCAGAUCAG